GGUUCAACAUGUGAAUUUUGGUGGAAAACAAACAUUCAGUCUAAAGCAACCAAUAAAAACAAAAACAAAAACCACUGUUUGCCUGUUAUAUGCAAAUAUCGUUACGUAAAUAUUUGAUCUCUACUGAGAACUUUAGUUCACAACCCUGGCUAUACAAUAAAACUACCUGAGUUUUAAAAACAUCAGUGACCAUCAGGCUCCACCUCAGACUAAUGGCAUCUGAAUCUCGGAGGGUGGGGGUGAGGCUGGGUAUCCUUAUUUUUUAUAAACUCCACAGUUAUCCUUCUGUGCUGCCAAGGUGGGAAAACCACUGGUUUAGAGUAUUUGUUGAGCACAGCUGAGAUGGAUAACUCAACGUGUCCUCCUUCAUAUAAAGCUAUUAAUAAAAAUAUACAGUGGUAUAGACUUCUCCCUCACUCCCUAUUGAAAUUUGGGUUUGCUAAAUGAAAUAACUACUUGUAAUUGGUGGACAUUGUUCUCAAUGCUCUGGACAAUCCAAACUUGCAGCACCAAGCCCCUGCCACGUGGCAGAAAGCAGGGCAUGAGGUGUUGAGUUCCAGCUUCACUCCAUGAGCCACCCUGUGAGACAGUGUUCCCCAGUGCCCCAAGGACAAAUAGCCACAUGUGUCUCUCAUAUAGCCAGGUGCCAUCUUGGGGGGAGGGCAAAAUUCAGGAAAACGUUAUAUUUCCUGGAGUUAUCCAAGCAGAAAAAACUGAGUUACCUAGUGGGACAGUUAAAAUGAUUGGAUUGGACUGAAAUGGCCAGAGGGCACUAAGCUUUAGUUCUUUUCUUACAUUCUAACAAGAAGAAAGAAAAUCAGCUCUUCUAUAGACAAAAUAACAAAGCUCACAUUUUCUCUGUACACAGAAGUCGUUCAGUGAGCCAGCCAGACAGAGCCAAUCUUCAUUUCCAGUUUUCUGCCAUCCCGAACACGGAAGUUCUACUUGUCACCAUUUGGUGUCAGUAUUCUCCAUCUUAAAGGAUCUCUGGGUUGUAAAGCAAGAUCUGUUGGAGAAAGUCUGGAGUAUUUUAUUUAUGAAUAAAUUACUUUAUUUCA